AUGCUUAAGUUCAGCGGGUAUUCCGGGGGGCAUGCCUGUCCGAGCGUCAUUACAACCCUCAAGCUCAGCUUGGUGUUGGGCCCCGCCGCCCCGGCGGGCCCUAAAGUCAGUGGCGGUGCCGUCCGGCUCCGAGCGUAGUAAUUCUUCUCGCUCUGGAGGUCCGGUCGUGUGCUUGCCAGCAACCCCCAAUUUUUUUCAGGUUGACCUCGGAUCAGGUAGGGAUACCCGCUGAACUUAA
rnacentral:misc_RNA from 1 species